AAAGAAACCCAGGCUGGAGUUCCAACUGGCCAGAACGGAGUAGUCACGGAGGCCAAAGGAUGAGCCCUUGUGAUUAACCUGCUUGGAUCAAGUCCCCAUCUCUCGGCUUGUUGGAACAUCUACAGGAUGCACGUGGUUCAAGAAGGAUCUACGUGAAGAUGCCUUCUCCAUUCCUGUUUUUAUCCCUCAAGUUUUUCUUCCCUCUAUUUUAUCUAUGUGUUUACAGAGGGACAUGGAGAUAGCACCAGCCCCCAUCACUCUCCAUCUGAUGUAAACUCUGACAUCUAACCAAGAGGAGUGGCCAGUGUUUGUCUUGAGCAGGGGGGCUGCACAUGGCAAGGGCCCUACCAGUGAGAGCAGGAUUCCGGCUGAGUGGCCCCAGGGCAUAGGUCCCACUGAAUUCAUUUUUACUGGCAGGACAGACGUGAACGGGCUCCAGCAGAAAUCUCUAAUCCACUGCUGCAGGGGUUUCUAUGUUUCAGGCACUUGAUAAUGAGAACCAAAUUUUUUUUUUUUUUUUGAGAACCAGAAAUUUUUGUGUGCUGAAAACUGGGGAAAGGGAGGAAGAGGGGAGUUUUUUGUAAGAGGACAGAGAGAGAAAAGGGAACCUGUUUUGUGUCUUGAAUCUUGAUCCUGCAGCCUUCCCCUGUUUUCUUUUUGGUAUAUGUCAGCUCAAGAGCUUGCUUGGGGCUUCCCCCAGUCAGCUCUUUGGGGACAGGAAACAAUGCUUGCUAGAUUUCAGGUCUUAUUCUUAAUCAGCUUGAAAAUUUAGUCAGAAUAAUUCGAGGUACAUAAAAUUGUAAAAAAAAAAAAUCUAUUAAUUAGCUACCCACAGGCUACCUUCUCAAGUUCAAUUUGAGCCCUAAGGAGAAAAUGACAUACAGCUCUGUUGUACAGCCGGGUAUGGAAACCACCUCCCGGGGUAGAAGCAUUAGCAGAGCUACUGCCUCUCAAGGAUUCAGAAGGAAGGCCUUGGGAGCUCAUUACUGGAUCACUGAACUGGGGAGAACCACAGUUCCCUCAGCUCUUUGCUUUAUAUGCAGAUUGCAGUUUGUGUGACAACAGUCUCCGAAAAGGACCAAGCUUCCACUCUGCUAAUGACAGCUGACGUUUCUAAUCGCCCGAGAGGCACGGAUGUCUCAUUUCAGGAGACGCGCAUAGAGGGCUCGUCUGGCCUUGAAAUUCUGAAUUUUGAAAAGAGUUCAAGGUGAUGAUACCAAUGUUGCUGGUCCUGAGAACGAACUGUGAAGAGCAAGGGGCUAAGUCACAUGGAAGAUAUAGGGGAGCUGACGCCUCAGGAAUUUCCUCCUUGACUUCUGCAAGAGGUCACCUGGCAAAUCUAAGUCAGACGCUAGACAGCAAAUGGCUAUAGCUUGUUUAACUGGGAUUUCGUUUCUGAUGGACAGAGCGUGAGGACAGCCGCUCUGAUAAGGUGCAGUGUGUGUUUGAUUCUGGAGUUCCGGUAGGAACGUUUUACUUCAUCCUAGAAUAUGUCUGUCGAGUGGCACCUCCUUACAGUGACCUUUGGCCCCAGAAGUACAGUUUUAUGGAAGUUGGAGCCAGCAGUCUGUCUGGGCAUUUCUGAAGUUUCAGUAGCGCCCAUAAAACAGCCUCCCAGACUGCUGAUGUGGUCACCGGGGCCUCUGUCCCUGCAGAGUUAUUAGGAAGAGCUACUGCCUCUGAGACACCAGGAGAUGCACAAGCUCUGAUAAUUAGAAUGAAAUAAAAUCGAUGACUGGACGAACGUGCA